GAAUUCACUAGUGAUUCAGGCCUAACACAUGCAAGUCGAGCGGUAGAGAGAAGCUUGCUUCUCUUGAGAGCGGCGGACGGGUGAGUAAUGCCUAGGAAUCUGCCUGGUAGUGGGGGAUAACGUUCGGAAACGGACGCUAAUACCGCAUACGUCCUACGGGAGAAAGCAGGGGACCUUCGGGCCUUGCGCUAUCAGAUGAGCCUAGGUCGGAUUAGCUAGUUGGUGAGGUAAUGGCUCACCAAGGCGACGAUCCGUAACUGGUCUGAGAGGAUGAUCAGUCACACUGGAACUGAGACACGGUCCAGACUCCUACGGGAGGCAGCAGUGGGGAAUAUUGGACAAUGGGCGAAAGCCUGAUCCAGCCAAGCCGCGUGUGUGAAGAAGGUCUUCGGAUUUAAAUCAAAAGAGUUGGGAGGAAGGGCAGUUACCUAAUACGUGAU
rnacentral:rRNA from 1 species